GUCGUGAGAUGUUGGGUUAAGUCCCGCAACGAGCGCAACCCCCGUCGUAUGUUGCCAGCAUUUAGUUGGGGACUCAUGCGAGACUGCCGGUGACAAACCGGAGGAAGGUGGGGAUGACGUCAAGUCAUCAUGCCCCUUAUGUUCAGGGCUACACACGUGCUACAUUGGCGCGUACAGAGGGCUGCGAUACCGCGAGGUGGAGCGAAUUCCUCAAAGCGCGUCUCGGUUCGGAUUGCAGGCUGAAACUCGCCUGCAUGAAGGUGGAGUUGCUAGUAAUCGCGGAUCAGCAUCGCCGCGGUGAAUACGUUCCCGGGUCUUGUACACACCGCCCGUCACACCACGGGAGUGAGCAACACCCGAAGCCGGUGGCCUAACCCGCAAGGGAGGGAGCCGUCGAAGGUGGGGCUCGUGACUGGGGUGAAGUCGUAACAAGGUAGCCGUACCGGAAGGUGCGGCUGGAUCACCUCCUUUCUAGGGAGCACCAAAACGGUGCCCGUACGGCACGGCGCCGCCCGCCCCGCUCGCCACUUCGGUCGCGGGCGAUCGGUUGGGUCGGCCUCCGACCGUGCGGCCUAGCAUGUCGACCGAACCUGGCCGGGCCAGCGCGGCAUAACGCCGAGCUCGAGCCCGUGCAUGCUGUUGAGUUUUGAGAGACCGCGUCGCCCGCCGCCGGCCACCGCGCCGGCGGACGUGCGCGUAGCCUUCUCGGACGGCCCUUGAAAACUGCACAGUAGCCACACGCCACCCGUACUCGAUAAGCGCGGGUGGCAACGGGUAUCACCAGGCCGAACCCUGUGCGGGUUCGGUCCGAUCACCGUCAAGAUAAUAAGGGCACAUGGUGGAUGCCUUGGCACCUAGAGUCGAUGAAGGGCGUGGACGACUGCGAUAAGCCACGGUGAGGCGUUGAACGGCCUUUGACCCGUGGAUUC
rnacentral:sRNA from 1 species